CCAAGCAUUACCUGAGGCUCAGGGGUCUUUCAGGCUCACUGGUUGGUGGCGGAAUUUGGUUCCUAGAAACUGCUCCAAGCCAGUUUGCAGCAUGACUCUUGCUUUCUUCCAGGAGACCCACAGGAAAUCCACUCUCUUAAUGAACUAAAGUCCAGAGGACUUGUGUGAGGUUCUUGAAGUCUGGCCUAGACUCUCCAGAAAACUCUCAGGAGAUAUGAACUUCUGGCUCUACCACUAACUACUGAUGCUGUUGGAAGAAGACAUUUAACCUUUUUGAACAUCACCAGUUUCUUGUCUCUGUAGAAGGAUGGGAUUGAUUGGUAUGAUUGUUUCCUUAAAGAUCUGAGACUGAUUUGGGGAAUUUACACAUUUAAUCACCAUUUGUUUGAUGUUGGCCAUAUGCUAGGCACCAUUCUAUGUACUAUGGGUACAUUGUAGUCUGUUACUAUGAUGAGGGAGAAUUUCAAGCCCAUACAAAGGAGAUGAUGAAUCAAUAACUAGGAAAAAAUUUAACCAAGGAGUUACACAGUGACUGGCAUUAACACCAAUGAGCCACAUGCUUGGCAACCUUCAAGGGCUUGGAAUUUAGCUCAAUGGUUCUGCUGCCUGUCUCGCAAGCACAAGGUCCUGAGUUUGAUUCCUGGUACCAAAAAAAAAAAAAAAGAGUAAAUUUAUUCAAGCAUCCUAACCACAAAAAUGAUCAGUAGAUGAGAUAAUAAAUACAUUAACUACCUUGAUUUAGUCAUUUCACAAUGUCUAUGUUUCAAAACAUCACAUUGUACACCAUGAAUUUUAUUUGUCAAUUAAAAAAAUUAAAAAACAACAUGUUAUAAACCAGGAGAUGAAAGACUUCUACACUGAAAACUGUAGAACACUGCUGAAAGAAAUUAAAGAAGGCCUAAAGGAAUGAGAGACAUUCUAUGUUCAUGGAUGGGAAGACUUGACAUUAGUAAGAUGUCAUUAAUGCUCAAAGUGAUCUACAGACUCAAUGCAAUUUAUACCAAAAUCCCAAUAGCUUGCUCUGCAGAAAUGGGAAAGCCAAUUCUUAAAUUCAUAUGGAAUUUCAAGGGCCCCAAAUAGCUAAAAUCAUCUUGAAAAAACAAUUUUUUAAAAAAGCAGAGGGCUCACACUUCCUGAUUUUGAAAAGUUACUAUAAAGCUACUAUAGCCAAAAUGGUGUUGUACUAACAUAAAGAUAGACAUAUAGGCCAUUGAAAUAGAAUUCAGACUUCAGAAAUAAACCCAUGUAUCUAUGGUCAGCUGAUUUUUGAUAAGGGUAUUGAAUCCAUUCAAACAAAAGAAUUUCUACAAGCAAAAGAAUGAAAUCUGGGCCAGGGAUUUACGUCAGUGGUGCCGCCACCUGCCUCGCAAGCACAAGGUUCUGAGUUCAAUCCCUGGUACCAAUAAAAAUAAAUAAAAAAUAACUAAGAAUGAAAUCAGAUUCCAACCUCACAUCUAUACAAAAAUUAACUCAAAAUAGAUCAACAGUCUAAAUAUAAUGGCUGAAAUCAUAAAUUAAAUUGAAAGUAUUCUGAGCACAUUUAAGGUAAGCUAGGCUAAGUUAUAAUCUUCAAUAGGUUAGGUGUACCAAUUGACAUGCAAUAGGUUCGAAUUUCGGUGGGUUUAUUGGAACAUUACUUCAUUGUAAGUUGAAGAACAUCUGUACAUACACAAUGGAAUAUUAGUCACAAAAGGAAUGAAGUUCUGAUACAUGCAACAACAUGGAUGAAUCUCAUGGUAAGUAAAACAACCCAGACAUAGAAAGACAAAUACUGCAUUGGGGCCAGGGAUUUAGCUCAGCGGUUUUGCCUCCUGCUGCACAAGUGCAAGGACCCAAGUUCGAUCCCCGGUACAAAAAAAAAAAACAACAAAUACUGCAUGAUUCCACUUAUAUGAAAUAUCUAGAAUAGGCAAAUUCAUAGAGACAGGAAGUACUUAGAGGUUAGGAAGGACUGGGGGGAGAGGAAUAGAGAGUUAUGGCAUAAUGGCUUCAGAAUUUCUGUUUGGACAGUGAAAAUCUGGGGGGACCAGGUAGUGGUGGUUGUUUGCCCAAUAACAUGAAUGCAACUCAUGCCACUGAAUUAUACACUUAAAAUUGGUUUAAAUGGCAAACUUUGUUACAUGUACUUUUUCACAAUAAAAAGAGAAAAAAUGGGAUAGAUGGGAGAUUUAGGGCAGAUAGUCAUGGCUCAGAGGAAGAUAUCGGCUGGGCCUUUAGACACACAAAGAAAUCCAUAAAAAUGUAGAUUUACGCCUAAGUACAAACCUAAGUUUACCUUAACAGGUACUCAAACACACAGCUCUUCGUCUCUACAGUCCUACAUAUGUGCAGUCCACAAUUCCAGUAAGAAGAUGGCUAAGUCAAAGCAUCCACACACUAGAGGUACACACACGUGCCUAUUACACCAGGUGACAGGAUAGCCACACAGGUUAGCCAAAGAGCCUGCCCACGCAAGAGCACGUUCUAAAGGGGAAAGGAAAGAAAUGCCUGCAGACCUGAGAGACGCGCACAGAUAAGCACUUAGCACAACGAAGCAGUGGAAGAGUUCAAGGGCAUAUAAAUGGGUCACUGGUUGUAGAGGGGGGGAUCAGGGUCGUGAGCACAGCGGAAGCACUGGGGGCUAACUGCGCUGUACAAGGGCAGGGAUUGAAGGUGGGUGAGAUGGGAGAAUGAGAACAUGAGUGGGUGUACAAACAAUAGCUACUUACAGCCUUCUUUGUCUGAUACUCAUAACAAUAGGCUGGAGUUGCCGAGUUUUACUCUUUCUCUUGCCUGUGACUGUCUGACCUUUGGUUAUCAGAAAUCCAACUCAGGAACCUUUGUAAAUGUGGAUCCCAACGCUACUCUGGGGCAGUCCUCAGGUGAGGUCAGUGAACCACUGCAUCUGGCCUCUUUUGCCCGGUAGAGUGAACCCGCCUCAUCCAGGGGCUGCACUGUGCUGUGGAAAGCACCAACCCCACUGGCGGCCAGCCCAGAGCCGUGGUGCAGAGCGAAGUCCCAGAAUAACCAAGGCCAAAGGCAAAAGCAGUGAUGGGGCCGAGGAAGUGACAUACUGGGAGCGGUGAGUCAGGAGCACUGGGAGCUAGCACUCAAAGGAAGUAGUCAGCGAUGAGGGCACUGAUAACGUAACACUGAGGCAUGAGCACAGGACCAUGCCAGCAGACCCCUUGUAUGUGAAUCCUGUAUCCUUUGUGAUCACAAAGGCUGUACCUGAGCAAGGCCGCUGCUGACGGAAAUACACAGCUAGAGGCCACCAGGGCAUCAUGAAGGUCCCACGUGUCCUGCUACCAGUCCCCCCAUCUUUCCCUGGCCCCGCCUCUUUCACAGGCCCCGCUUCUUUCCCAGGCCUUUCCCCCCAGCGCUAGCACUUUGUUUCUUCACUGACCCAGCACCAAUGCCCUCUUCCCUCCUAUUAAAACCCUGAGUAAUUAUGGGGAUAAAAUCUUAUCUUCCGCUAUUAGGAAAGAGAAUUCUCCACUUACUGCUAAUCAAUAAAAUUAGAGUGAGUUACAUAGGAUUAUCAGCAUUUCCUUGGUUUCUACCUGCAUUUUCAGAACCAAAAAAAAUACGCCUUGGUGAGUAUAGGGUGUUAAAAUUCAGUAAAGAAGGGAACAUCCUGGCAUGUUUUAUAAUAACUUUUUUUUUUUUUUAGUUUUACAAUAGCUUUCUGAAGAGUAUACUGACAAAAUACAACUUUGGUCUUUUAGUAGGGAACCACGAUUGGCUUUGGAUUUUGAUUGUAGACACCAUCUUUAAAACAAUAGACUACUUUGAAUUAACUUACUCAUGGAUAUAGCAAGUAUAAUUUUUUUUUUUUUUUUUUUUACCAGGGAUCGAAUAGCAAGUAUAAUUUUAACAAAUACUAACUAGGGAAGUGUGUUUGUAUAUUUGCAAACGAUGGAGAUGUGUGACUUUGCCAAGUAAAGUCCACAGUUCAUGGAAUUAUUAUUACUGAAAGUGUUUUUAAAUUUUUUUCAUCUUUCAGCUCUUAUAAAUCCACAUUGCAGGUUAUUUGAACUAUAAUGGAUGGUGAUUCUAAAGGAAAUUAUCAUAUUCUGCUUCUUAACUUUGAGUUCAAUUGUGGUGGAAAAAUUAUUCUGUCUUUGAACAUAAUUUAACUUCUGAAAGCAUGCAUGAAAGGAUAACUCCAGAAAGAACAGAGAAGCUGACAGCGGCUUGACUUAUUCUGGAGGAAACGAAGUGAGAGAAAUGGCAGAAGCCAGGGCUGGUCUCUAUGGUGUGACACAGACUCCAGACAGACGGGCUUGGCUGGACAGUGUGAGCAAGGAUUCUGGAGACUGUAUGUGCUUUUCAGACAACCCACAGGCCUACACGAAAUAUCACAAGCCAGCUGCCUCUGCAGGUUCCUACUCAGAGGAAAGAAAGCAGACCAUUGUCAGCGCGAGGGAGCUGAGGAAUGAGCAGCAGCUGCUCAGGACUCUGCAGCAGGCUCCAGCCCCACGCGGAGGCCACUGCCUACUUCAAGGGUGGCACCAGCACCCUCCACUCUGCCCUAGACUCCUCCAGGUGCCAGGCAAGGUCACCUGGAAGAUACAGCAUGCCUCCCGCCAUCCAAGCCAGUGUGGAUAGCCAGGCAUCGAACUUGGGUCCUUGUGCUUGUGAGCCAGGCGGUGGAACCACUGAGCUAAAUCCCUGGUGGUAUUUUGCUAUUAUGAAUGAUGGUAUGAUACUUAUACACUCAUCUGUUUAUAUUUCUGCAGGAUAAAAUUCUACAAGUAGAAUUGUUGACUGCAUCCCUUUUAUUUCUUAGUUAAAAAAUUUAUUAGCCCACAUUUGGAAUACAUAGUGACUCCAUUCAUCGUGGGGUAUCGGUGCAUGCACAUAACACAUGUUAAUUCUUUUGACUUUUUCCCUUCCCUUCCUCUCCCCCCCCUUUUUCUCUAGAGACCGCAUUCCUUUUAAAGUUUUUGAUUGGUAGAGACAAGUUUUCCUUCAGUGAGAGAAUAUCAGUUUGUGUUCUAACCAACUGAGUGUUAUGUUCAUUUCCGCAUUAGUGUUUUUAAAACUAAUUGCAAAAGAAAAUCAAAUGAACUUUGGAAGAAGCAAUAUAUCAAUGAAGAAAAUAAGAACAACACAAGAGAAAUAAUGCUUUAGUUUCCCCCCGGACUCAUCCAACUGUAGUCUGUUUCCUCUCUCCCUCUCUCUCUCUCUCUUCUCUCUCUUCUCUCUCUCUUUCUCCUUUGACCAAGUGAGGAAUACUGUGGUAGAGUUGGUCACCAAACCUAUAGCUUUUCCUGUGCAUCCAGACAGACUACAUCUCCCAGGCUCCCUUGAGGUCAAGGGUGAACAUCAGUUCUGGCCAACAGAACAUGGGCGGAAAUGAUACAUGCUAUGUCUAAACCUGGCCCAGAUGCUCCUCUUCCUGUGCAUCUCCUGGACCCUGAGGAACCAGGAGAAGACUCAAAGGCCCAGGGAAUGAAUGGUGCAGAGGAAGAAGGAGCCCAGGUCCUGAGUCACCUCACACAAGGCCACUCAGCUAUUACUCAUGCAAUUCAUAUUGUGUUAAACCAUGGAGAUUGUAGAAAAGCUAUAAACUUCAGAUAAACAAAAGAAAAAAAUUACUCAGAAUCCUAAAAACCAGAGAUAACUGUUCGAAACAUUAGCCUAUCCUCGUAAAUUGAGGCCUACUGCUUUUUAAAGUCAGCUACAACUGGAAUUAGUAGUUAAAAAUAAGGGUUUGGUAUGAUUUUCUUUUUCACAAUCAUCUUCCUCUUUCUUGAAUACUUGUUAUGUGUUUUCAUUUUUUCUGAAUACCUAUUAUGAAAAAUAAGCUAUAAUGUAUGCAUUAUUUAUUUGUGUGUAUGAAACUUCAUUCAUGUGUAAGGUAUAUUUCUCCCUACAUACAUCUCACUCUCAAAUAUCCAUGUGACUGAUAUGGAAAAUUGGUAUAUAUAAAUAACGUAGGCCAUGUAGAUUUCAUUUUGAAUAGUCUCAGCUUGGGGACUGAUACACACCUAGGCUUCCAGGAGACGCAGUGGCACUCACCAAUCAUCUGUCCCAUCCCUUGCCCACUCAUCAGCUCCCUUUGAGUCAGGAAAACCAUGUGACUAGCUCUGGCCAAUGGAAAGAGACUAGAAGCAACACAUGCUACCUAUGAGCAGAAGGGUCAAAAAGCCCACAUGCAAUUUCUCUGUUUCUCUUCCUGCUGCAGUGACAGGGACCUGGUGUAGUCAGGGACAGCAGAGUCUCCAGUAUCCCAGGUCCCCAAGCACACCCCUUCCCCUCCAAGGAUGGGCAUUUGGCAUGAGCAAGAACUAAAGCUUUCUUGUGUUAAGACAGCAGGAUUUCUGAUUAAUGGGGUAAUGCAGCCCAAGCCUACCCUGCCCUGAUAGCAUAAGGCUCACACUGUUCCCCGUCCACAUCAAGAGCUCCAAGAGAGCAGGCUCACUGCUACCAUUAGUCAUUCACAGCCCAGUUAAGUGGGCUUUGACUUCCUAGCGAUGACGGAAACACUGAAUUGAAGAAUAAGGGCUUUAUAAGACAGGUGAGCGUUCUUCUAGUGACAGUAGGAGUGACUUCACUAUAAUGCAUAAGAAGCAGAUGCAGCUUUCUGGAUUUUCCCAGGUGCAAAGUAGCUUAUGAAAUACAUUUAUUACGGUACAUGAAAACUAUUAAUAGUGUCUACAUAUAAGGGUAGAAACAAAAGAGAGUGAAUCUGAUCUCUUGGCUUGCUGAGCAUAUUUUCCACCUAAUAAUAAUGAAAAGGGAUGUAUGGCAAGGAGUGGAGAAGUCAGUUGGCAGAGAGGGAACAUGAACUGAAGUCCAGCUCCUUUGUCCCUUUUGUGUCUGUUUCAGUCUGGCUGUUGAAUAUCUUCCAAAGGUUCAUGUAUGAAAGUUUGAUCCCUAGAAUGGCACAUUGGGAAGUUCUGUGGCUCUUAAAGAGGUGGAAGUGUCCCCUCAAAGGGAAGUGGGACCCCAGUUCUGUGUGUAUGUGUGUACAUGCGCUUGGUUUAAAAUGUGACCUAUAGGGUCGGGGAUUUAGCUCAGUGGUUUUGCCGCCUGCCUAGCAAGCUCAAGGACCCAAGUUUGAUUCCCCGGUACCCUCCCCCCAGAUAAAAUAAAAUAAAAUAAAAUAAAAUAAAAUAAAACGUGACCUACAGAGAGAUUCUUUAGCUCAGUCUUGAAGGUUCAAAGUCUGAGAUCGGGCAGGUUAGGGGAGGAUUGCCUUGUCCCCUGUGAUGACAGUGGUGGUGAUGCAUCAUGGUGUCAUAUGCUUUGUUAGAGUGACAGAAGGCUGACAAACAGCAUCUGAUAUCUUUAAGUUAACUUUUAUGAAAUCAGUCAAUGAUACUUUUCUAUAGUGUCCAAUUUCUUUAUCAUGAUCACAUGUUAUUUUUAUAAUUAGAAAAUAGUAUUUCUAAUUUGGAAAAUAAACUAUUGGUUUUUUAAUAAUUGCUGCCUCCAUUGACACCUAAAGAAUCACACCUACAACAGAGUCUAUCAGCUUCCUUAACAGUUUAAUUCAAGGGCUGAGUUCGUUAGGGGAAGGUUUAACAUCGUGAUUCUAGAAGCAAGCAUAGCAGCAUCGCACAUCUGAGGGGCUCAUCCACAUCUGC
rnacentral:lncRNA from 1 species